GAUUCAUGACUGGGGUGAAGUCGUAACAAGGUAGCCCUAGGGGAACCUGGGGCUGGAUCACCUCCUUAUACGA
rnacentral:rRNA from 2 species